GAGUGAUCGAAAGAUGAAAAGCACUUUGAAAAGAGAGUUAAACAGCACGUGAAAUUGUUGAAAGGGAAGCGUUUGCGACCAGACUCGCCCGCGGGGUUCAGCCGGCAUUCGUGCCGGUGUACUUCCCCGUGGGCGGGCCAGCGUCGGUUUGGGCGGCCGGUCAAAGGCCCUCGGAAUGUAUCACCCCCGGGGUGUCUUAUAGCCGAGGGUGCAAUGCGGCCUGCCCGGACCGAGGAACGCGCUUCGGCUCGGACGCUGGCGUAAUGGUCGUAAWUGAC
rnacentral:rRNA from 1 species